rnacentral:RNase_P_RNA from 1 species
AGUAAGACAGGCAAUCGCUGCUAGCCUUUGAGCUAGGAGAGGAAAGUCGGGGCUCCACAGGGCAGGGUGCUGGAUAACGUCCAGUCAAGGCGACUUGAAGGAUAGUGCAACAGAGAUAUACCGCCUACUUAAUGUAGGUAAGGGUGGAAAGGCGAGGUAAGAGCUCACCAGCGUGAUGGCGACUUCACGGCUAUGUAAACCCCACUUGGAGCAAGACCGAAUAGAGAGGCAUUUAAGGAGUUGCCCGCUCCGCCUCUGGGUGUGUCGCUUGAGUCUAUUGGUAACGAUAGACCUAGAUAGAUGAUUGCUUAAUACAGGACCCCGCUUACGGCUUAUCUCG